UCUGUCACUGACGCUGAGNCUCGAAAGCGUGGGUAGCGAACAGGAUUAGAUACCCUGGUAGUCCACGCCGUAAACGCUGAGUGCUAGGUGUUAGGUCCUUUCCGGGACUUAGUGCCGACGCUAACGCAUUAAGCACUCCGCCUGGGGAGUACGACCGCAAGGUUGAAACUCAAAGGAAUUGACGGGGGCCCGCACAAGCGGUGGAGCAUGUGGUUUAAUUCGAAGCAACGCGAAGAACCUUACCAGGCCUUGACAUCCCGAUGCCCGCUCUAGAGAUAGAGUUUUACUUUUUGUACAUCGGAGACAGGUGGUGCAUGGUUGUCGUCAGCUCGUGUCGUGAGAUGUUGGGUUAAGUCCCGCAACGAGCGCAACCCUUAUUGUUAGUUGCCAUCAUUAAGUUGGGCACUCUAGCGAGACUGCCGGUAAUAAACCGGAGGAAGGUGGGGGUGACGUCAAAUUAUCAUGCCCCUUAUGACCUGGGCUACACACGUGCUACAAUGGUUGGUACAACGAGUCGCAAGCCGGUGACGGCAAGCUAAUCUCUGAAAGCCAAUCUCAGUUCGGAUUGUAGGCUGCAACUCGCCUACAUGAAGUCGGAAUCGCUAGUAAUCGCGGAUCAGCACGCCGCGGUGAAUACGUUCUCGGGCCUUGUNC
rnacentral:rRNA from 1 species